CACACACUGUAUAAAGACACACACAAAUACACACACACUGGAUACAGACACACAAAUACAUACAUGAUGUCUGUUGCUAAUAUUCACAAGAGGUCGGUGUCACUGGCAUAAGGUUAUUAUGUAAAUCCUAACGAUUCAGGGAUGUCAGGGUUAAUCCCAGAUGGUGAUUGGCUGCACGGCACACUCGGGGUUACUGGAUCAGCCUGACUGUCUAUACAAGAUAAAGUACAAUUUGUUAUGAAUUGGACAGAACUGGACUCCCUCAAAUAAUCCCUGGAAUGUCAGUGUCCCUGGAACCAGGCAGUGGUAUUACAGGAGAGGUAAUACAUAGAGAAAUCAAACUCGCGGGUACUUUCUGAUUGGCACAAGGGCUUCACAUUUUACACCUUAUAGGGUGCAGGGGGUACCUGUCUGUCAGCAGACACAUUACAAAGAGGGCCCAGCUCAGCUGCCUGGUACAGGGACUAUUUCCAGGCUCAGCAGGGCACUACAGUGGGGAGGGAAACUCAGUAGUACAGAGGCAUCUGCACCACAACCAGUAGCCUAAUGGUCUUUAUCAUUGAAUGUCAGUGGCUGAACUCAAUCCGCCAUACAGAGAUGCUCAGCCAAUCAGACUCAGGAAGCAACCAAUACGAGGAGAGCUUGCUGGAUCUCUAACAGACCUGGCAGCUGUUUGGGGCUUAUGAAGUGCAACUGAAUUUCUAACUGAAUAAAGCAGGUCCCCAAGUGCAUGGAGAUUGGGCAGGAGGGAGUCUCUACAUUCUAUCGAAAGCAGUAGGACCCCUGCAGGACAGGAACGACAAUGGUGACUCCAUCUUGGCCAAAGAGCGAAAAGAAAGGUCCAAGCCCUGAAACAAAAUUCCUUCCAGGGGCCAAUGUUGAAUCCAGGGUACCCCAACACCAUCAGCCUAAUGCCCCCAAUCUACAGAGACUGGGGCAAAAAGUGGGGUCUGGCCUGAAGCGCUUGUUCCAGUGCCCCCAGGUGGACGACGUGUGUAUUAUCCAAACACAAGAUACUAUGAUUGAGCUGAGGCAGACCAGCGGGGUCUCAUGCAGAGAGAAACUACUCCUCACUCUGGGGGUCUUUAUUGUGCUGCUUGUAGUCGUGCUCUUGCUCCUGUGGAACUAUAAGUGUACCAUCAUCGACCGGCUGUGCCAGGGCAACCCCGAGCUGCUCACCCCACUCUUUAAGGACGACUGAUUGAUCUGCCCCCCAAUAUCUCUAAUUAACGCCUUCUAUUCUGAGUUUUCAUGAUUUCCCCCUUACAUGCAAGUCCUCAGGUGUGGCCCUUCCUCUACACUAAUAAGGGCCCCCAUUUCUAUGAUCAUCCAACACCCAGAGAGGGACAAUCCUGCGCUCGGUCUCAUCCUACGCUGCUGCCUAAGCCAAUCUCUCAAUGUAAAUAAGAACCAAUAAAAAUAAUCACAAAUG